AAUUCAAUUGCAACUAAUUGUCGGCUAUUUUUUCUGUUUCUAAUUUAUUUUUCAUUCGUCACGAUAUUGUUUAUUUCUUUGCCCAACUUUAUCUCGGUAUUUACUCAAAAAGCUAUCGCUUGCGACAUAUGUAUGUGCGUGAAGAAGUUAAACUGUUUUACAGCUUUCUGUUUUUUUCUCGUACAUGUAAAUACCGAUCGAGAAAAUACACAUGCAUUUUCUUAGAAAGUUCAUUACAAAACACCAGCGACGCACGCGCUGCGGUAUUAACAAAGCACGUGAAACUCGUGCGUUCUUUUCUUCGUGAAGAACUACAGAACAGGUAAAUCGUAACUCACCUCCGCUAAGUCGGUUCUGUCGUAACUACCGAACAGGUCCAUCCUCGAGUUCACUCGAUUCUUCAAUUAAAUAAAUAUAAAGUCUGCCGCGCGAGCGCGACAACAACAGGUACGUCUACGUCGUAGAGGAUGAUCACAAUUUACGCAAAGAUAAACUGUAUGUAUGUAUGUCACAGCGCAGUAAGUCGCAUCGCUGUUUGUCGGGAACAGAUUGCAACAAGUGCGUACGUUAUGUACACCUUCGACUGCGACUAAACACGGAGGUCGUCGCGGCGAUGUCGCGCAACGCGAUACUGAUCGCCGGUCGCCGAAAUGUCUCUGACGAAGACGGCGUCGCCAAGCUGCCGACGCGGUGACGCGAAAGACGUCAGUGGGAGUACCAUGGGGACGGAUAGCGCGGAUGAGCAGGUUUCAACGGGGAUUUCCCGCUCUUUGGAAUCGGCCAAUCACCGGCGUUGUGCCUCGCGAUAGCUGACGCAAUAAUUGCGGAUACACAACAUUGGCGGCGGUCUCGGAGAUCCGGAGAAUCCAGGGACGAAAACACAACCGAAAGUAUAUAGUCAACGCGAUGGGUUAUUCCCCGAGUGGCUUCGUUACUUUACAAUCCAACAAGCUCGACCUCACUCGGCACGCUCGAGUAUUUGUGGCGGAGAGGUUAAAUUUACGAAUUUCACUUUUGAAAUAGUACACGCUUCGAAAUUUGAAAAUUUGUCUAUUCUGUGGAAUGAAAUUAAAUUUGAAACAAUCAAGAAUUGGAAGCGAUAAAGCUGCGUUUUGUUUGUGAACUCUUCAGAUUCCUUUGAAGUCUGUAUUUAUUCGUGUCUUUUAUUCUUUUAUCUUUUCACAAUACUCGCAAUUGACUAUAAUUUAUUAAUAUGAUUUUGUUGUAUUUCAGGGUAUGUCCCAAUUCCAAUUUUAAGAUCAUUGUAAAGAAGAUACUAUUAUGUUUAUGGUAUAAUCGGUCAGACUGAAUUUUUUUUUUUAGCUAUUUUAUACAGAAAUGAUCUCACGCAGUUUUUAAACUUGUAUUUUUUUCAUUUAUCGCCAGAAUUAUUUGGAAUUUAUCGAAUGAUGCGGAAUCAAUUAUACAAUAUAAUGUACGAACAAAAAUAUUAAUAAAAAACUUCGGAUCUUUUUGCUGAACCAAGAGAAUUAUUGCAAAGAAAAACGUCAGGCAUCUACAUAAAUAAGUUAAAAGGUUACAUGUUCAAUCAGUUGUAUAUAAAAUGAUGCCACAAAAACAAGAAUAGAGAAGAAAUAAUCAAAUGUAAUUAAAUAUGCAUAUCUAUAUAUAAACAUCUUAUAUGUACAUUUUAUUAACCAGAAUGAAAAUAUUAUCAUAAAUGACUACAGGCCAUAGAUGGAAUUUCAUUGAACAGCGUAAUGUAAUGAUUUACAUUAAUAUUAAUUUGGGUCAAUAAGGUAAUAUUUAAGUUAAGGUGAAUAUUAUUUAACUAUAGACACAAUUAAGCUAUUUAUUUAAACAUUUAAGCUCAAUUUCAUAAUAAUUUUUAAAUCGGACUACUUCAAUUAUUUUAUAAAAUUAUUCUCAUAUUUUUAUAUUUACAAACAUUUUACAUUAAUAAUCGUAUCUCAAAUGUUGCUAGCAAUCCAUGCUAUUAUACAGAGCCAAAGGUGUGUGUUAAUCUCUAUAAAAUGGAAAUUGCUAUUGAACUUUGAUUUUUUCCUGGAAGUAUCUCUUUUUUUAAAAAUUAUUUAUUGCAAAUUAAUGACUUGACAUAUGAAAUCAUUGAUGAAAAUUCGUCUUUGCAGCGAGAUUUCAUCGGUGCCUUCGUGACAUUGAGUCGUUUGAAGAUCUUCACAAAGAUUCUAUUUUUUUUUUUUUUUUCUUUUUAACGACGGUAUUAAUAGACACAGGUUGUUCGUCACAUAAUUCUCAAUAAAUUGACUAGCUAGAAUCAAUGUGAGAAAAGAAGAGAAUAAUAUUCUGCGAUAAUGUGUUCCGCGCGCAUAUCAAAUUUUCCUGGAAUGUUGUAAUACGUUUAUGUGCAACAAAGGUGGAUAGAUUUUCAAUAAUGCAAAAAUUGCAUUCUUAAGCUUUGCAUGCAUCAUAUGUAUGUAUAUGCCCGAGGAAUAUUUUCAAUGAACCCACUAAUGCUUCCAACUCGUACGUUCUGGCCUGUAUACAUAUAAUGUUUCCAUCACGUUCGUCCAGACAAAAUGCAAUAUUCGGAAAAGCUCUCACAUUGGCGGCGCCUAUGGACUCGUUUAUUUAUAGUACGCCACGAUGUCUCGACAUCAGAGUGUAAACAUGUCGGUACUACCAUGGACUUCAUUUUAUUUUACGAUGUACCUUUCUUUCUUUUUUUCUCUCGCAUGUAUUCUUUUUCUUUCUGCUCUUUUCAAUUAUGUCUCCGCACCGGGAAGAACGCGCUUUUUAUCAUAACCGCAAUCCGUGAAACUCCUGGGGAUUACUAAUAACCAAUUCGAGGAAUUGCGAUCGUGCAAACCAACUUCGUCGGGCUUUGAUUUUAUAUCGGCUCUUUCGAAAUAUUUCGCAUUUCCUGCAGGGAAAAUCAACGAAUAAAGGAAAUGAAGAAGAAACCGAGGCGACAGUGAUAAAGAAAAAAAAAAGAAUUAUAUUGGUGUGCUAAUUAAGGAAGUAAUGUUCCUGCGGAAGUAUAAGGGUAUCUCGUUUUGAGGGUUGCCCUGAAAGCAUCUCUGACCACAUCUCCUAGGAUACGGAUUUUGUGUAUCUCGGUUUUCUCCACUUCCCAGAUACAUAGAUCCUUCUCGUAUUACACAAAGUUAUCUGGGAUCAUUCUACAUAUUACAAAGUCGUGUUAUUCAAAAAGACUGCAUCACUAUUUCAAUUACAGGCUUGUAUUAUCAUAUUCCUAUUCUAUUUUCAUUCAUUUAACGUUCAUUCUAUUUUCUCUUUGAAUCUAUUUCCCCACUAUAUUGCAUUUCUAUCUCCUUCGUUACGCUACGCUUGUAUAAAAUCAAAAUGAAAUUAUAAAUGGUUAGUUAUCACGUGAUCAUUCGCAACUAGCAAACGAAAAUUCCAACGAUUCCUUUUAAUUUUUAUUUGCAACAAGAAAUAAUUGACUUGUUCGAAUAAAUUAUAUGCAAAUCUCGUGACGCGUGCAUGCGUAUGUACAAGCGGCCCAUUUAAUUGCAGUUGGUAAAUAUUUAAUUGUAUCGAUAUGCAAUCAUCACUUAUCAAAAGUUCACCUCGCGUUAAACUUACUACCUUUUUAGGACAUUAAGAUUAAGAAACUUAGAAGAUUAAAUACUUGACGUCCUGUAAAUAAACAAUUUAUAUUACGCAAAAAAAUGAACCAGACAGUACAAUUCUAGAUACUAUACAUGCAAAUGUUAAAGCACACGUGUCAUUACAAAUGGAAACAUAAGUCCUUAUCGUAAAAAAUUGUUUUUUUUUCUUUUUUUUAAAUAUAUCACCAUCGUGCACAUUUAUAUAUUUAUUUAUAAUUAUUUGUCAUUUAUAUGGAAAUGUAAAUUGGUUCGAACAAGUGCUACGCUUCAUAAACAGAAUAUACAUAUUAGUAAUAAUUAUAGUAAGACAGACACGUUGACAGACACGUUGAAAAUGCGAUGAAAGGGACAAAGGAGAUUGAAAAUGAAAUACGAUCGUUUUUCUUACGCUUCUUCCAUGGCUUACGGCAAACUUUUUUUUUUUUAAUCUAUAGAACGUAGUAACUCGAACUUCUGCGUAAUCGUAUGUGUUUCGAAACGGGAAAGGUCACCACGGACUGUCAAACAGGUUCAUAAUUUUUUUAAUUCCAAUGGAAAUCGAAAGUCCUUAACUAACGUCAUUGGUUGCGUACAAUUCCCAAAAUAAAAAAAUGUCACGUGCGUAUUAGAGAAAAUAAACAAGAAAUUCAACGUUGUUAAACUUGCUUAACCAAAGCUUCUCAUUUUAUCAGUAAUGAGAAUAUAAUCAUGCUUGCAAUUUAAACGGAAAAAAGUUUCAAAUCUUACGUAUAUUUUUAUUUACAAUUACAUGUCAUAUUUUUUUUCGGUCAAGAAAGUUCGAAUCAUCGGCGAAUUAUUCCAUCGUGAUCGAUUAAAACGAGUAAAACCAGUUCACCCACAGAAGGUGCAUUGCAGUUCGGGGGAAAUCACAUCUGCAAAUAACAAAUACUUGUGCGUGCGCAUAAGAUCACGUGGACGCGGGCACUGUGAAUCAUUCACAAUGUUUGUUUCGCAACGCGCCGUACCGUCGAAAAGACUCUAGGCUUCGUUUCCAAGAACACGUGUCUUCUCGGGAUGUUCCGCUCAUUAUCGUUCUCAUCACAUCCCAAGCGCGUAUUCGCAAUUUUUCCAGGCAUGCCCAAUUUGUCUAAAAAUGAAAAUGAUCUUGACAGACGAUCUUGAUUUUUACUCUAUCCGAUCUUUAAUUAGAAUUUUGAUGUUCAAAUACACGGGCGUUUUCGUAUAUUUUUUUGGAAUAUCAUAAUGAUUUUAGUAGUAUUAUAAUGACCGUUAUUUCCUAGAUCAUCGACAGAUAAAGUUUCUUUUUGCAUUAUUAAGUCGUAUGUUUAGUCUUUAGACAGUCUUCGAUUGCAGUUCCGUAAUGCCAGUUGUAAGCUGUACCUAGAUUCUUACUAUUCUAAUUUCAAAGUUUUUCAAAGAAAUUUUUAAUGAUACAGAAUUAUUAAUGUUAUUCGCUCGUAAUAAGUGGUAUUAAAUAAAUUCUAAUAGUAUGUAAGUAUUCACUUCCAUCGUUAUCAUGCUCGAUAUGUGUUUAAUUACAAGUAGAGAAUUUAUUUUUUCAAAAAACUUGAGAGUUUAUAAAUAAUUGGAUUUCAUUCCUUCUUUCAGUUAAGGAAAUUGUAAGCGAGAAAUUUGUUAUUUUUAGCUUUUAUACACAUAAUUAGUUAUACGAGAUUGCAGCGCAAUACUGAGUUAUACACGAGAACUUGCCUAAAUGAUUUCACGAACAGGUGCCGCGUCACCUUUGCGGGUUAAACAAGGAUACUAAAUAUUACCUAUAAACGUAUUCUUGCUGCAUUUGUGCGAUUUUCAAUAAAUCUUUGGUAUCAAACGUACAAUGAAAUAUUAAUGAGUAUUCAUGAAUUAUUGAUGCAAAAUUAAGUACUUACUAUAAAAAUUCUGUCUGUUUUUCUGCAAAAAAAGAUAAUGGAAGAAUAAUGAAUAUUUAAAACAAUAUUGCCCAAGUAUUUUGUAACAAAGUGCUAAAUAAAAUAAUAUUUAGUACAUAUUUGUACAUUGGUAAUGAUACAAUGAUGAAAUCAUACAGAAAUUCUGCAUACAUGCACAUAACAAUAAACGGAAAUACUGUGUAUGUAUGUAUGUAUGUAUAUAUAUAUAUAUAAUUUUCCAUUUAUUGUUACUAUUAUUAUUUACUAUUAUUGUAACAGUCCAUUGUUAAAGUCAAUAUAGAAGAGGUAAAUUAGUUUAAA